UUGGAGGGCAAGUCUGGUGCCAGCAGCCGCGGUAAUUCCAGCUCCAAUAGCGUAUAUUAAAGUUGUUGCAGUUAAAAAGCUCGUAGUUGAAUUUCGGGAUUAAUACGUCGGUCGUGCUUUUUUGGUACGCACUGGCGUCAUUGGUUUCUCCUUUCUGACGAACCAUGAUGUCAUUAAUUUGGUGUUAUGGGGAGUUAGGACUGUUACUUUGAAAAAAUUAGAGUGUUUAAAGCAGGCAUUAGCUUGAAUACAUUAGCAUGGAAUAAUGAAAUAGGACGUUCGAUCCUAUUUUGUUGGUUUCUAGGAUCAACGUAAUGAUUAAUAGGGAUAGUUGGGGGCAUUAGUAUUCAAUUGUCAGAGGUGAAAUUCUUGGAUUUAUUGAAGACUAACUACUGCGAAAGCAUUUGCCAAGGAUGUUUUCAUUAAUCAAGAACGAAAGUUAAGGGAUCGAAGACGAUCAGAUACCGUCGUAGUCUUAACCAUAAACUAUGCCGACUAGGGAUCGGAUGAUGUUAAUUUUUUAAUGACUCAUUCGGCGCCUUACGGGAAAC
rnacentral:rRNA from 1 species